rnacentral:rRNA from 1 species
AGAGUUUGAUCCUGGCUCAGAUUGAACGCUGGCGGUAUGCUUAACACAUGCAAGUCGAACGGAAACGAUACUAGCUUGCUAGUAGGCGUCGAGUGGCGGACGGGUGAGUAACGCGUAGGAAUCUGCCUGAUAGUGGGGGAUAGCCCGAAGAAAUUCGGAUUAAUACCGCAUAAUCUAUUCGUAGUAAAGUGGGGGACUUUCGAGCCUCACGCUAUCAGAUGAGCCUGCGUAAGAUUAGCUUGUUGGUAGGGUAAAAGCCUACCAAGGCGACGAUCUUUAGCUGGUCUGAGAGGAUGAUCAGCCACAUCGGGACUGAGACACGGCCCGAACUCCUACGGGAGGCAGCAGUGGGGAAUAUUGGACAAUGGGGGCAACCCUGAUCCAGCAAUACCGCGUGUGUGAAGAAGGCCUGAGGGUUGUAAAGCACUUUCAAUUGUGAAGAAAAGUUAACGGUUAAUAACCGUUAGCCUUGACGUUAACUUUAGAAGAAGCACCGGCUAACUCCGUGCCAGCAGCCGCGGUAAUACGGAGGGUGCAAGCGUUAAUCGGAAUUACUGGGCGUAAAGCGUGCGUAGGCGGUUUAUUAAGUCAGAUGUGAAAGCCCCGGGCUUAACCUGGGAACUGCAUUUGAAACUGGUCAACUAGAGUAUGGUAGAGGAAAGUGGAAUUUCUGGUGUAGCGGUGAAAUGCGUAGAUAUCAGAAGGAACAUCAAUGGCGAAGGCAGCUUUCUGGACCAAUACUGACGCUGAGGUACGAAAGCGUGGGUAGCAAACAGGAUUAGAUACCCUGGUAGUCCACGCCGUAAACGAUGAUAACUAGCCGUUGGGGGGAUUUACCCUUUAGUGGCGAAGCUAACGCGUUAAGUUAUCCGCCUGGGGAGUACGGCCGCAAGGUUAAAACUCAAAGGAAUUGACGGGGACCCGCACAAGCGGUGGAGCAUGUGGUUUAAUUCGAUGCAACGCGAAGAACCUUACCUGGUCUUGACAUCCUGCGAACUUUCUAGAAAUAGAUUGGUGCCUUCGGGAACGCAGUGACAGGUGCUGCAUGGCUGUCGUCAGCUCGUGUCGUGAGAUGUUGGGUUAAGUCCCGUAACGAGCGCAACCCCUAUUUUUAGUUACCAGCGAGUAAUGUCGGGAACUCUAGAAAAACUGCCUG